AUGCACGCUGACAGAAUGCUUCACACAUGCAAGUCUUUGGCGAAGCUGUGCUUGCACAGCCUAGCCAAGGCGGACGGGUGAGUAACGCGUAAGGAACUUGCCCUGCAGUCAGGGAUAACAGACGGAAACGACUGAUAAGACCUGGUAAAGUCAGGCGGACUCAUGUCCAGCCUGAUGAAAAGAGAUGCUGCAGGAGAGCCUUGCGUCCUAUUAGCUUGUUGGUGGGGUAACGGCCCACCAAGGCGAUGAUAGGUAGCCGGCCUGAGAGGGUGGACGGCCACAAGGGGACUGAGAUACGGCCCUUACUCCUACGGGAGGCAGCAGUGGGGAAUAUUGGACAAUGGGGGCAACCCUGAUCCAGCAAUUCUGUGUGCACGAUGAAGGUUUUCGGAUUGUAAAGUGCUUUCAGCAGGGAAGAAAAAAAUGACGGUACCUGCAGAAGAAGCGACGGCUAAAUACGUG
rnacentral:rRNA from 1 species